rnacentral:misc_RNA from 1 species
GAUGAAGAACGUAGUGAAAUGCGAUACGUAAUGUGAAUUGCAGAAUUCAGUGAAUCAUCGAAUCUUUGAACGCACAUUGCGCCUGCCAGCACUCUGGCAGGCAUGCCUGUUCGAGCGUCAUUUCAACCAUCAAGCCCUAGGCUUGCGUUGGAGCCCUGCGGCUGCCGCAGGCCCCUAAAAGCAGUGGCGGGCUCGCUAUCACACCGAGUGCAGUAGAUUACUCUUCGCUCAGGGCGUGUGGCGGGUUCCAGCCGUGAAACCCCCUACUUCUCAAGGUUGACCUCGGAUCAGGUAGGAAUACCCGCUGAACUUAAGCAUAUCAUAAGCGGAGGA